rnacentral:SRP_RNA from 1 species
GGAAGGUUGGUCGUGGACGGAGCGCUCGCCAACCCGGUCAGGUCCGGAAGGAAGCAGCCGUAACGGGGUCUGUUUCGGGUCGCGCGCCAGCCUUCCGCC